GACGUAGGGGGCCAGCGUUGUUCGGAAUUACUGGGUGUAAAGGGUUCGUAGGCGGUGCGGCAAGUUGGGAGUGAAAUCUCUGGGCUUAACCCAGAGGCUGCUUCCAAAAACUGCUGUGCUUGAGUGUGGGAGAGGCGCGUGGAAUUGCAGGUGUAGCGGUGAAAUGCGUAGAUAUCUGCAGGAACACCCGUGGCGAAAAGCGGCGCGCUGGACCACUACUGACGUGAGGAACGAAAGCUAGGGGGAGCAAAACAGG
rnacentral:rRNA from 1 species